GCAACGCGAAGAACCUUACCAGGUCUUGACAUCCCACUGACUGCCUUAGAGAUAAGGCUUCCCUUCGGGGCAGUGGUGACAGGUGGUGCAUGGUUGUCGUCAGCUCGUGUCGUGAGAUGUUGGGUUAAGUCCCGCAACGAGCGCAACCCUUAUCUUUAGUUGCCAGCAUUCAGUUGGGCACUCUAGAGAGACUGCCGUCGACAAGACGGAGGAAGGCGGGGAUGACGUCAAAUCAUCAUGCCCCUUAUGACCUGGGCUACACACGUGCUACAAUGGUUGGUACAACGGGAUGCUAGCUCGCGAGAGUACGCCAAUCUCUUAAAACCAAUCUCAGUUCGGAUUGUAGGCUGCAACUCGCCUACAUGAAGUCGGAAUCGCUAGUAAUCGCGGAUCAGCAUGCCGCGGUGAAUACGUUCCCGGGCCUUGUACACACCGCCCGUCACACCACGAGAGUUUGCAACACCCGAAGUCAGUGAGGUAACCGCAAGGAGCCAGCCGCCGAAGGUGGG
rnacentral:rRNA from 1 species